GCGUGUAUAACUCAGCCCGGUAGAGUCGCUGCCUUCCAAGCAGUCGGUCGCAGGUUCGAAUCCUGUUGCACGCUCCA
rnacentral:tRNA from 3 species